rnacentral:rRNA from 1 species
CAAUAGCGUAUAUUAAAGUUGUUGCGGUUAAAAAGCUCGUAGUUGGAGUUCUGCCAGGUGCCGCCUGUCCGCCCCAGUGGUGAGUACGUGGCGCGCAUUUGGCCCUUUCAAGGGGAGCGUAUCUGCACUUUAUUGUGUGGUGCGGGAUCCUUGACUUUUACUUUGAGGAAAUAGGAGUGUUCCAAGCAGGCUCUCGUCGUGCACAGCUCAGCAUGGAAUAAUAGCAUUGGACCUCGAUUCUAAGCUGUUGGUUGCCAGAAGCGAGGUAAUGAUGAAGAGGGAUAGUUGGGGGCAUUCGUAUUUAACUGUCAGAGGUGAAAUUCUUGGAUUUGUUAAAGACUAACUUAUGCGAAAGCAUUUGCCAAGGAUGUCUUCAUUGA